rnacentral:lncRNA from 1 species
UCUCUCUCUAGACAUUCUACCACCCUCCACCACCACACCCCCACUGCACCACCAUCGCACUACCAUCACCACCACCGUACCAACCACACCACCACCACAUCAAUCCCACCACCGUAACACCAACCCCACCACUGUACCACCAUCACCACCACCGCAUCAACCACACCACCAUUGUACCACCACCACUGCACCAACCCACCUCCACUGCAACUGUGAGAUCUGGAACGAGAGACGAAUACGAGGAUCAGAGAACAAAGUGGAAGAAAUUAUACAAGAUCACAUAAACCCAAAUCAAAUCUAAUUUCGAGUUUAUUCCUUCAAUGAACUGAAAUGAAGAUACCAGAGAGGUUGCAACAAUGAGAUGGCAGAGCAAUGUCAAGAUUCACCUUCAGAAACGCCACAAUCAUCCUUUGUUUCUUGAAUUUGAUCACCGCACUCUUCUUGAUUCAUGCUUUCAUAUCUCCUCCAAACUCAAUCGAUCCGAUUCAGAUGCAUUUUUUUAAUCAAAUUUUCGAUCUUUAGUUAAAAUUGGCACAUUCCAGUUGUUCCUGUUACUGGGUUCUUUCUGAUUUAUAAAAACCCCAAUUUUGCAAAACCCUAACCUUAAUUUUUUGAUAUCCAGUUCUGCUUAUGUAUAUAAAGGAAUCUGAAAAAUUACGUCGUUCAAUGGAGCCUGUAGACCUUAUAAAACGAGGGAUAUACCAGCAGCUACCGCUGAGGAUAUUGACGGUGUAGUGUAGAUGGUGGGAGAGAGAGAGAAAUUUGCAGAGACUUGUUUUUGAGAAAGACAGAGAUAAGGAGAGAGAGAGAAAUUAUAUAUUUUU